ensembl:lncRNA
AAACACAUACAUUUUCCAGUUAAUGAUGCAAAUGAAUCAUGUUUGAGCUCGGCAGUGCAACGUCUGGAAAGCAUCACACCCUCAAUCCUCUAUGGAAUUGGUUUAAGAUAGGGUAGCGUUUUGUUCACUAACGUUUGGACGUUCUCAACUGAACUCCCUGUAUAGAAUUAUAAUGUUUUCAAGUGGACAUGAAAAAGUAAAAUAUAAAAUCUGUUUUACUAUUAACUUAAUGCUUGUUGGUCACUAGGGGUGUAACAAUCGGACAAUUUGGAUCGAUGUACCUACUUAAAAGGCAACGGUGGAAAUUAACCAAGGCAUGAAUCAUAAAUUGAUCAUCUAUCCGUUAUAACGGACUACAAAUGAGAACUGUUAUGUAAUAAUAAUCGAGAUUUUUUUGUAAACUGAUGUGUAAACUAUUUAAUAGGUUAGCAAGGGGAUUUGCCUGUAACUCUGAUACAUACAAUAGUCCUUCUCUACAUCAUAAUCAUUUGCAAAUUUACAGUAGGCCCAUCCCAUAUACUGAACGAAGUUGGACACAUAUUGAUAAGAGGCUACUAAAUCCAAUCGCAUCACAUCAGAUCAGAUCAAAGCAGAUUCAGUAGUAUUGUCCAAUAUCGAAUCAUUGCCUUAAGAAUCAAAAUGUUUUGUAUCAUGUAGAAGCCUGAGGCUUGCGAUCACUCUACACAUCACAGCUUCUCUAUUCCACACCAUGAUCACCAAAUUUUGGUGCCCCCCCCCCCCAUGUUCCAUCACACUUCAGCUGAUAAGAGAAAUUAGCAAAAGCACGGAGCACCCAGCACUUGGACUGAGAACUACAGUUAUACAUACUACAGUAAUUUCAAGCGGAAAGUCCAGCUUUUGUGGGGGGCUUAAUAACUUUAUUGAGUUUCAUACUCGGUUCAGUCAAAUGUAUUGGCCAAACAUCAACCAUUUAUAUAUUAUAUAUAUUUAUUUUUUUUUCCAUAUAAAGUGGGAAUGUAUCAAGUAUAGACUAUGAAAGUGCAAAUAACAUUUCAAGGAUUAGUCACUUAACAAUAUAAAUGUUUCAAAAUGGGUUACAAAAUGUGCUUGCCUUUUUUUCCCCCCCUCUCCAAUUGCCUACAUUGACACUCAAAUCUCCUUUCUUUUUUUCCUCCAAGAAAAUAGAACUUGUGUAUUUUGAUUUAAAUGCACAGCAUACCAUCACAAAGGACGCAUCACUUCAUGUCUAAACAGAUGGAAAGAACCUACCGAGUGCUUCACUAUGUUAGCUCCAUCACUUUGGCAACAUACAUUACUGCUUACUGAAGAAAUACUGCAGGUUACUCAGUUGAUUCUAUUUAGGUAUGAAAAGAAAAAGAAAGACCCUUUCAAAUCAUUUGUACUUACUACAAGUAUACAAACUACAUGAGACGACGUCACAUGUAAAGUACAGUAUUUCAACCAUCACCGACUAGGACAGGUUCUCCCCCCCACCACAAUGGACUUAUGGAUUUUGGUUGAUAUUACAGCACUUUUUCUUCAGUAAGGCAAAACUGCACCUUUAAAAUUUGGGGAUUUCUUUUAAAUUAAGUGCGGAUUUUCCACUUCCAAAACAUUAUCAAUGAAUGCGGCUAUUCAGGAUUAAUAAAACAAUAGCUUAGAUUGAGAAUUUGGCCAGGGGGGUUUCUAGAAAUAUAUGCCCAUACCAAAAAAGCUUGCUGUUUGUUUGUUUAAAAGGGUAUUAACAAAAAGAAAUCACCUCAGUAGUAACAAUUAAUUAGUUUAAAGCGCAUUAUUUAAAAAGUGGCACUGUAAAAGGACUGGGUUUUUUUGUUGUUGUUGUUGUUUGUUUGACACAUGGACAAAAGACAUUGGUUUUCAUUCAUUUGUUGUACAUUAUCCAUUAUUUUUUUUAUGAAAAACAUUCAAUUUCAAAUAAAUAGAAAAUCAAUUUCACAAUAUAUUAGGUCUGGCGCUUUACAUUAUGGAUGAAGCACAAUGGCAUCACAUACUGUACACACAUCAUCUCGAACACUCAACUCAUUUUAUCACCA